UACGUAGGGAGCAAGCGUUGUCCGGAAUCAUUGGGCGUAAAGCGCGCGUAGGCGGCCUCGUAAGUCCGCUGUAAAAGUCACAGGCUCAACCUGUGAACGCCGGUGGAUACUGUGAGGCUAGAGUCCGGAAGAGGCGAGUGGAACUCCUGGUGUAGCGGUGGAAUGCGCAGAUAUCAGGAAGAACACCCGUGGCUAAGGCGGCUCUCUAGUACGGUACUGACGCUGAGACGCGAAAGCGUGGGGAGCAAACAGG
rnacentral:rRNA from 1 species